rnacentral:rRNA from 1 species
UACGGAGGGAGCUAGCGUUGUUCGGAAUCACUGGGCGUAAAGCGCACGUAGGCGGCUUUCUAAGUCAGGGGUGAAAUCCUGGAGCUCAACUCCAGAACUGCCUUUGAUACUGGAGAGCUUGAGUCCGGAAGAGGUGAGUGGAACUCCGAGUGUAGAGGUGAAAUUCGUAGAUAUUCGGAAGAACACCAGUGGCGAAGGCGGCUCACUGGUCCGGUACUGACGCUGAUGUGCGAAAGCGUGGGGAGCAAACAGG